AGCGAACGCUGGCGGCAGGCCUAACACAUGCAAGUCGAACGAAGUCUUCGGACUUAGUGGCGGACGGGUGAGUAACACGUGGGAACGUGCCUUUAGGUUCGGAAUAACUCAGGGAAACUUGUGCUAAUACCGAAUGUGCCCUUCGGGGGAAAGAUUUAUCGCCUUUAGAGCGGCCCGCGUCUGAUUAGCUAGUUGGUGGGGUAAUGGCCCACCAAGGCUACGAUCAGUAGCUGGUCUGAGAGGAUGACCAGCCACAUUGGGACUGAGACACGGCCCAAACUCCUACGGGAGGCAGCAGUGGGGAAUCUUGCGCAAUGGGCGAAAGCCUGACGCAGCCAUGCCGCGUGGAUGAUGAAGGUCUUAGGAUUGUAAAAUCCUUUCACCGGUGAAGAUAAUGACUGUAGCCGGAGAAGAAGCCCCGGCUAACUUCGUGCCAGCAGCCGCCGUAAAAC
rnacentral:rRNA from 1 species